rnacentral:rRNA from 1 species
GAUGGACGCUGGCGGCGUGCCUAAUACAUGCAAGUCGAGCGAACGGACGAGAAGCUUGCUUCUCUGAUGUUAGCGGCGGACGGGUGAGUAACACGUGGAUAACCUACCUAUAAGACUGGGAUAACUUCGGGAAACCGUAGCUAAUACCGGAUAAUAUUUUGAACCGCAUGGUUCAAAAGUGAAAGACGGUCUUGCUGUCACUUAUAGAUGGAUCCGCGCUGCAUUAGCUAGUUGGUAAGGUAACGGCUUACCAAGGCAACGAUGCAUAGCCGACCCGAGAGGGUGAUCGGCCACACUGGAACUGAGACACGGUCCAGACUCCUACGGGAGGCAGCAGUAGGGAAUCUUCCGCAAUGGGCGAAAGCCUGACGGAGCAACGCCGCGUGAGUGAUGAAGGUCUUCGGAUCGUAAAACUCUGUUAUUAGGGAAGAACAUAUGUGUAAGUAACUGUGCACAUCUUGACGGUACCUAAUCAGAAAGCCACGGCUAACUACGUG